UUCUGUUCAUAUUGAUUUUACUGUUGCCUCUUCUUCUCAACAUUACAUGUGUUUAUUUUAGGUCUGAUGUAUUUAGCUUUGAAGUUAUACUAUGAGAGCUUCGUUUUUAUACUGAUAGAUUGUUAACUAAAUGGCUGUUGAAUUUUAGGAGGGCUUACUUGGUCUGAUUUGUUUGUACUCUGAAGGAAUGUGACAAUUGAAUUUUCCGCCCCAAAAUGGUGUUGCUGCGAAGUCAAGUCUUUAUCUCGAUCGGACAGGCGAACCUGAUUGUGUAUGUUAUUUAAGAACACGAGUAUGUGGAUAUGGGAGCAGUUUCCAAUUAAUCAUCAUUCUUAUAUAUCCAGGACAGGUACCAGUAGCAGUUUCAUAUCCCACUCUAUUGAAGUAAAAAACCAUAUUUAGAUGACUUUCACGUUCUUUCAUAUUUUGUGGGUUGUAUUUUUGUUUGUUUUAGGUUUUGGGAAUCUAUAUAGUGCAACAAAUUUAACCCAUCGAAUGUUCCAUCGUCCUGAGAAUCUAACUAUAGCUUUUCUGUGCAUUAGUAUUAUGUACAUGAACUUUCACUGUUUUAUGCUCUAUAGAUUAGUCGUUUAAUUUACAGUUAUUGGGGUGAGCCUAGACUUUCUAAACCAGGUUGAUAAGACUGACUAUGAGAGGAAGAAUAGUGGGUUUAUAAUACUGGAAUACCAUUCUAUUUAAGGAUAAUAUAGCAACCAACCAAAGACAAAUUUAACACCAGGGCUGGAUCGUUUGCAUUUUCACUACUGAAGUCUUUUGUCCCACGUGACACAUGGGUGGUUAGAAAGUUGUCAAAAUCUGGAGCAUUGAUCACGGGCAAGGCCAGCCUUAGCGAAUGGUCCAAUUCUUAUGGUACGGGUGUUCCCUUGGGAUGGCGUGGAAAAGGUGGACAUGGCUGGCUACAGUUCUUCUACGAUGCCUCCACAUGGCUGCCUCACUCAGAAACGUUGAAGUUGUUGAGUCUAAAAGUGAAGAAAAAUUGUAAAUUGAUCGCAAAUUGAUUAUUUGUAGAAUUCUUUUGUUACUUUUAAUGAAUCUCAUCUCUUGCCAUAUAGGUUUUCCAAGGAUUCAUAAAGGAGGAAAAUGACAUCAACAUGAAGUUCACUGGAUAUAUGAGAGGAAAAUCUUUUGUACUUGGAGGAACUUCAAGCCACUAAGGCCGUCUUGAAUUUGGGUACUACUUAGGAAGUGUUUUUGGAAGUUUGGGAGAAGUUCAUAAAAAAUGCCUUCAUCUUUGUAGGUUUGCAUAAUGAUAAUGCUGAACACCAUAAAUCCUUUUAAGUGGGUUUCUUUGGGGGAAAAUAUCAAGUCAUGGUUACUGCUGGUCACCAGAAAUGAAGCGGUGUGUUGUCGACUCAAAGCUAAAGAAGGUUGAGUUGCAUAGAGUGAGACAUUUACCAGAGAGGCCACUAAACCAGUGCUUAGGGAGAAGAUUGUUGUCCCCUUCGCAAAGCCUUUCAUAACUUCCAUGGGGGGUUUCUCAAAACCCACAUACCAUAAACGACAAUGCAUCAUCCAUGAACCGAGACGACGGGAGAGCAUUAAUGACCACACUUUGUAGUAAGUAAAUAUGACUAUUUGGUGGCCUUCAACUCAAUAUUGGAGGUAACAAUUCACACUUACUGGAUAUAUAUUUUUUAAAUUUUUAGUUGAAGUUAAAAUGUUUCCUAUAUAAGAUAACUUGAUGUAGAAUUGUAGAUAUUCUGUGACUAAAUAUAAGAAAAACAAUCAGAAGCCUAGCAUUGUCUUACGCAAAUUCUAUUCGCAGAUGUUAACUCUCAUAUAUAAAUUGUUAUUUGCAUCUGAAUUGCAAAUUCAUUAGGAACUGAUAACUUACCUAUAUUGAGUUUUAAUUAGUCAAUAUUGUUUACGAAAUUAAGGAUUUGAAAAGCAAAAAACUCAAUGCUGUUUUAUCAUCACUAUGGCAUACUCAAUGUCUUGAUGUACAUGGUAUUUAUGUCUCCACUUCAUGGCCUCGACACUGUAUAUCAACACUGUCAUAUUGAUUUUUGCCAGAACUUACUAUUAAGUGCAAAAUGUUAAGGCUUUUGUAUACUGUUGAGCAUUCUACCUAUUUAUGGUCUGACCCAUGCCAUCAUCUGCAGUAACUUGGAUGCCUAUAAGACGUUUAUAAGUUCAUAUUUUGUUGUUUCCAGAAUUUGGCAGUAGUAUUAUUCCAUGACAUGCUUCCUGGGUUUGAGAAAUGUGUUUCAUUUGUUUCCAUUAUGUUGAUGUGAGAUAGCAAAUUGUUCAUGCUCCUUCUAUAAUGUGUGCAUAAUACCAACUAAUUUGUAGGUUUAUAAGGUACACAGAUACACCAUGACCUUAGCAUGGAAGUAAAGUAACUCUUUAUUUUACUUUUUGACACUUAGCAUUUUGAAGAUAUUACAGUGAUGUUGCUUUGGUGAGUAUUUAUUAUUAUGACUUAUUUUGACUUGGUACCCAGAAAUGUUAUCUGUUUAGUCAUCAUGUUUGUGGUGUUUCCAGCUGAGACUUCCUUCACUAGCUAAACUAACAGUCAGCCUUUGUUUGAACAUGUUGGAUUCCAAAGAAGAAUUACUAAUUUAGCCAUGCAGGAGAUUGAAAGACACUUGGUAAUCUCAUUGAACAUGUAUCUUGCAGUAGUUGCAAUGCUAAUGUUAGAGAUUGGGUUGCAGUAAUUAGUGAUGCCGGGUUAAGGCCUCCUUAAGGUUGGUGCCAUCAUUAUCAUUUUGGUUCUUUAGAUCAACCAAGGGGCUUGAUUGAACACGGAAGCCAGGCUCAUUGGUUUGUUGAUGGACAAGCAACAUUUCAAGCAAUUGAAUCAGCCGUUUGAGGAACAAUGUCAAGAGGCCAAUUUCUCAUCUUGAAAUUGAUAAGAAAAAAUCAUAAAGGGAUUGUUACUUCUAUGUAUGUAUUCACUACAUAAAGGGUAUCAGGAUAGCAAAGAGGCAUUCGUAUUUUUUAUUUGAUGGGGCAUAAGUGGAGUUUGGCUCUGGCAUCAAAAUGAGGAAACAACUCCGGAUAAAUUUAUGACGAAAAUGGUAAAAUAGCUUUAGUUCUUGAAACCAUUUUGUAAAGAUACUAAUUUAUAUGCUCCGAUUUUGUUUUCUUCGGCUUGAUGGCGCAUAAUACAUUUAAUGUCGAUAUAAAUAAUAAAAUUCAAAUUCUUUGUGAGAAAUACCAGACUUCAUAAGGA